CUGGUUGAUCCUGCCAGUAGUCAUAUGCUUGUCUCAAAGACUAAGCCAUGCAUGUCUAAGUAUAAAUGAUAUACAGUGAAACUGCGAAUGGCUCAUUAAAACAGUUAUAGUUUAUUUGGUAAUCGAAUUUACAUGGAUAACCGUGGUAAUUCUAGAGCUAAUACAUGCUGUAAAGCCCGACUCUUCGGAAGGGCCGUAUUUAUUAGAUAACAGACCAAUAUUCCUCGUGUCUAUUGUGGUGAAUCAUAGUAACUAAUCGGAUCGCAUGGGCUAGUCCCGCGACAAACCAUUCAAGUUUCUGCCCCAUCAGCUUUCGAUGGUAGUGUAUUGGACUACCAUGGCUUUUACGGGUAACGGAGGAUUAGGGUUCGAUUCCGGAGAGGGAGCCUGAGAAACGGCUACCACAUCUAAGGAAGGCAGCAGGCGCGUAAAUUACCCAAUCCUAAUUCAGGGAGGUAGUGACAAGAAAUAACGGGUCGGGGUUCUACCCCGGGACUGCAAUGAGAUGAAUUUACACCCCUUUUCGAGUAACAAUUGGAGGGCAAGUCUGGU
rnacentral:rRNA from 1 species